rnacentral:rRNA from 1 species
GACGAGCGCUGGCGGUGUGCUUCACACAUGCAAGUCGAACGAGGUAGCAAUACCUAGUGGCGGACGGGUGAGUAACACGUGGGAAUCUGCCUUUAGAUGGGGAAUAACGGGCCGAAAGGCUCGCUAAUACCGCAUAUGUGUACGCCUCGACAGGGGGGUACAUGAAAGGAGCAAUCCGUCUGAAGAUGAGCCCGCGCCCGAUUAGCUAGUUGGUAGGGUAAAAGCCUACCAAGGCGACGAUCGGUAGCUGGUCUGAGAGGACGAUCAGCCACAAUGGGACUGAGACACGGCCCAUACUCCUACGGGAGGCAGCAGUGGGGAAUUUUGUGCAAGUGGGCGAAAGCCUGACACAGCGACACCGCGUGAGCGAAGAACG